AAAAUCGUUAAAAUUUAUCUUAGAUUAAUAAAAAAAUAAAUAUUUACUUUUAAGGUUAUGUUCUUUAAGUGACAGUUAUUGACAGAUUAUUUAUUACCAAUAAAAGCAGCUUUAUUCUCUAAUAUUUUUAUUAAUUUUAAGUUUUAGCGAUUCAACUUACAAAGGGACAAG